rnacentral:tRNA from 1 species
GGCUCACCUCGGUAGAGCGUGAGACUCUUAAUCUCAGGGUCGUGGGUUCGUGCCCCAC